rnacentral:lncRNA from 1 species
UGUUGCGUAAUCAGGGUGAUUGGCACAGUAGCCCAGGUUGUUGAGAAUCACUCUUUGUAAAGCCAUGACCUUGAAAGCCUGCAUUCCCUACAUCUUCAAACAGCACCCGACAAUCUCAGAAAGACAGGUGGGGGAGGGACACAGGCCCCCGACCCUGGUCAUCAGACUUGCUCAGAAAACAGAUAUGCAUCCUUUUGCAUACGUGUGUAGAAGUGCAGGCCGAGGCGUGCUGAGGUGCCUGCUGGUAUUACCAACCCCCCCCCGCCCCCCCUUCUCAGAACAGGGUCUCUCUGUGUAGCCCUGGCUGUCCUGGAACUCUGUAGACCAGGCUGGCCUUGAACUCAGAGAUCCGCCUGCCUCCGCCUCCCAAGCACUGGGAUGAAAGGCUUGCCACAUUCUUUUUACACAGAGCACAAAUGAUCAGGACUUUGGAGAACAUUUAAUGUUCAUACUUCGCAAAUAAAGUCAGUAUGAAUUAGUGGUGACUCCCCACAUCUGAGUCCCUAAUGUUUAGGGUUCAAAUUUUCUCCUUUUAAAAAGACGGUGAUUACUUUUUGAACCUAUGAGAAUUUUAAUUAAUUGAUCUUAACAACUUUUUCCUAUUCUAGGAGCAGUAAAAUAAUUUAAAAAUUAACUUUUAUGCUGGAAACAUCUGAAAAUGUUUGAGAAUCCAGUCAUAUUUAAAAUAAACGACAUACAAGUCCUUUUUAAAAACCUGAUUUUAAGGUCUUAAUUAAAACCGUUUUCCGUAAGCGUUUUCGUUUUCUGUGCUACUUUUACGUGAGGAUUAAACAGAUUAUUGAGUUAAGGAUGCCCAGCUUGGCUACAAUGACGAGAAUGAGAAGAAAAUAGAAAUGUAUUCUUACACUGUGUGUUUAGAGGAUGUCUGAGCACUUGGGUUGGUCUUGUGCCUGCUCCUUCUCCUUACCCGGAGAGUUCCUAACACAUUUAUACACUUCUGCAGGUAACCUUAGGCAUCUCACCUGCUCACAGUGCAGCGCACGUGCCCGUUUCAGCCGCUAGGCAACAUCUUUGCAGUUGUGUCUCACUGAGGGUCGCCUGCCAAUUCAAAGGUCUGUGCUAACCUCACAAGAGCGAGACUAAAUGGCAAGAGAGGAGAGCGAGCAAGGGUGAUAGGUGUUUGCUUGGCAUGCAGGAGGCAUUGGGGUCUCCACAUGGCAGGAGACAAAGCAGCACACACAGAAUUCUGUGAAGCUUUCACGCUAAAAACAUCUUUAAAAGACUUUGCAAAUGGUACGGGACUCCCUGACACCGAGGACACCGGAAAUGUUAAUUGGAGAGGAGCAAGCAGGAGGCCCAGUGCAGGCGACAGUGAGACUUUGCUUUCCUGGUAAGUUCACUCCUCAAGAAAACCAGGAUAGCUGCAUGAUCUACUUUCUGGAUUAAACCAGUGCUAUCCUGUGGCCAAUUCUGCAGUUCCUGACCCAGGCUUGUACAAGACACAGUUACAUCAGACAUAGGACUCAUAUCACGAGAUGGAUGUUCAGCUCCUGGGACAAUCCCUGCUGGGCCUCUCAAAUAUGACCACAUGCAGCACCCAAGUCAGCACCAUGGACAGUAUCCCGGGAACGCAGUAAUUAUCGACCCUUAAACACCUUUGUAGAAAAAUCUGAAGAUCAGUGGAAACGUACAAGAGCUUUUAAGUAACUGAGAGUAUCUGAAGAUUUUUUAAAAAACAUCUCUACAAGAAGC